rnacentral:rRNA from 1 species
UGAGGAAUAUUGGGCAAUGCCCGCAAGGGUGACCCAGCAACGCCGCGUGGAGGAUGAAUGUCGUAAGAUUGUAAACUCCUGUUAGAGGGGAAGAAUAGUACCGGUUGGACCGGUAUAUGACUGUACCCUCAGAGAAAGCCCCGGCUAACUACGUGCCAGCAGCCGCGGUAAUACGUAGGGGGCAAGCGUUGUCCGGAUUUACUGGGUGUAAAGGGCGCGCGGGCGGGGUAAAAAGUCAGUGGUGAAAUCCUACAGCUUAACUGUAGAACUGCCUUUGAUACUGUUAUUCUUGAGUUCGGGAGAGAGAGACGGAAUUCCAGGUGUAGUGGUGAAAUACGUAGAUAUCUGGAAGAACACCAGUUGCGAAGGCGGUCUCUUGGUCCGACACUGACGCUGAGGCGCGAAAGCGUGGGGAGCAAACA